CCUUUUGGGGGCUGGCUGCUGGUGAUUAUUUAACAACCUAUCUCUUGUUCUGCAUCAUCUUACAAUUUUUUUUCUCUUCUUGUCAUAGUUAUCCAGACAGAUCAGUGAAUCAGAAACAUCCUUGUAAAUAAUAUGCAGUGUAUAGCUUUCCUAAUGGGAGGAUUCAAAAAAGCCAUUAUAAAAAUAAGAAAACAAAGACUGAGAAAUCUUCCUCUUGUUGUACAAGGCAAUCUUUGUCAGCUACUAUUGGAGACAAGAGACCUUUGGACCAGCACAGCCAAAGUGUUAUGGUGUUAAAACAACAUUAAUUUUCUCACUCAGCCUCACUCAAUCCAGACAAUUUUCCUUGGAGACAAUCAGGACAUAAUCAAGAGCAGUCAGGCUCCUGGGUAGGAGGAGGUGGUGAUAGGAAUGGCUAUUACAAAUCAAUUUGCAGAAGAUCUGUUUCUAACAUAUGUGACAAAGCGCACAGAUUUGGAGGUCUAGUUCAGAUUUUUUUCAGUUAAAUAGUUAUAGUACCAAAUAUAUUUAUUUCUGCCCUUGCCUAUAGCUAGAGAAACAACAUUUUACACAGACUCAGCUUAACCAUUCCAUGGUUGCACCAUCUGAGCAACAGACCUGGCUAAACACAGAAACGACAGAAGGAUUUUUUCUUACAAGUGGGGAGGCUUAAUGCAGAUGAAGUGGCCAUAUGGAGUGAAAAACAUAACCAUUAAGAAGAUGGAAAGAUACUAUUAGCACAAGGAUUCCCAAAGUUUGUUUAUGGAAAGCUGGCACAAAAGCAGGGCAUCAAGCCACAGCACCUAAAAUAAUAAACCUGUAAUUCACAGAUCGUCUCCAUUCUCAGCACCCUAAAUCUUUCAGUGGCCUCUUUCUUGCUGCUCUCCAAAGCAGAAGGGUGAGCUACAGGUUCUUGGCGCUUUCAGAGAAAUGAAAGCAGCGGAGUGGUGCAAUUUGUUGAUAUUAUGAUACAUUCAUUUCUCUGGACUCUCUGGGUCCCAGAAGUCUCAGCAAACACUUUGCAUGCAUGUAGAAGACGUUAUAGCUGUAAUAGCCUGAGACAUCACCUGAAUUUAUCCAGGAUGGCUGCAGCUAAUGUCAGCUUGUGGGUCUUACCCAAUGGUGUCCCAGGUUGCCCUUCGGGGACUUUGCACCUGAAGAGGCAAACGAGAAGUCCUGGUGAGGGAAUGAUGUCCAGAAGUGAAAAACUGGAUGGAACUCUGGCUAGAUAAGCAGAAGCUGGGUAAAAUAACAAAGGUGUUGUCAAAAAAAAAACAACAGUAUAGCAGACAAAGAAACAAAACCAAAUGACCUAGGAUUUGAAAGAGCUUACAGGUUAAGAUUUCAUUCAGAGUGUAAGGAAGAGACCAGUAUUACUCCUCCACUGAUCACAAGUGGUGUUUCAUAACAGUCCUACAGCAGGUACACUCUCAUGCAAAAGACACUCCCAGUCUGAUAAGAGACAGUUUUUCAUUAAUCUCAGUAAUAAUCACAGCAGAUACGGAACUGUAGGCAGCUAAAAUGGACCGAUCAGUAGCUGUCAAAAGCAUUUUUUGGGACCAAAAAACAGAGAAACUUGAAUGGCAUCUGCAAACUGUUCAAAGGCACUUGAGUGGACAAACAGAGUUGUACAUUCACAGCAUGGAUAACAGACCACAGAGACAGAAACUCAGAAACAGACAAACCUUUUGGCAUGAAAAUUAUGAUAGACCUGGGACAUGUCUACACUGGGAAUGAAGGCGUGGUGCAGAAAUCCCCAGAGGAGUGAAUGAGCUAGCUCCAAACGUUGAGCUGGAACAACUGUGUUUGCAUGAAGUUACUGACAGGCAUCUUCAGUAAGCCUCUAUCCAACCGUGGGCAAAUGUUGAUGGACCAUUAGCUUUCCAGCUGGCUGCAAUGUGAUGCUGCGCUACUUGGGUGAUAUCUGAACCCAUGUCUAACUUAAAGUACAGCUCAGAUGAGAUUGAUGAAGUAUCUAGUGGUAGCUGACUCUGACUGGACAUCAAAGUUUGGAUGACUGUUUUGUUGCCUCAUUUUUUUUUCUUUCCACUCGGAUUUUUUACAGUUUCAGUCUUUAAGAGGAAGAUGAUCAAAGCUAGUCCAAGUCAAUUUAAUGAACACUACACGUCCUUGCUAUUCCACAGGAGAAGGCAUGGUAAAGCUGGUUGAACUUCAUUCCUUGCAUCAAAUGUCAGAAAUGUUGUUAAAUGGAAGGUUAGUUAAUCAUUUCAGAUUCCAUUUAUCUUAUCACAUGCAUUUACAUAAAGGUAAUUAUUUAUAUGGUACACUAAUUUGUUUGUAUUCCCGAUGGAAAAAAUUCUAGUUUAAUAGAAUGAAACCAGCGGUCACCCAGAAGGUGAAUUAAUGCUCCAGUGCUACCUUGUGCUACAGUUUCCAGUGGGAUGGGGAGAUGACCUCUGACCUGUCCUUGCUUGCAGGUAGGAAUCAAAGUGAUGAGGAAUUCAGGGAAAAAAAAGGAGAGAGCGAGGAAGAAAGAAUGCACUCACAAGCAUCCUCAAUAUAGGCUUGUAACCUAAAAGCAGAGUUCAAUCUCUUUGUGAAUCCUUUGCUAUGGAAACCACAAUUGAGCUGCUUUCUGUAUUUCCCAUUCUUGAUGGAAGGCCUAAUUCUU